rnacentral:lncRNA from 1 species
UCGGGGGUGGGGGGACAGUCUCUGUCUGUCACCCAGGCUGGAGUGCAGUGGCACCAUCUCAGCUCACUGCAGCCUCUGCCUCCAGGGUUCAAGUGACUCUCCCACCUCAGCUUCCCAAGUAGGUGGGACUAUAGACAUGGGGCACCACACCCCACUAAUUUUUGUGUUUUUGGUAGAGAUGGGGUUUUGCCAUGUUGGCCAGACUGGUCUUGAACUCCUGACCUCAAGCGAUCUACCCGUCUCCACCUCGCAAAGUGUUGGGAUUAGAGGCGUGAACCACCGUGACCGGCUGAGAUUGAGUUAGUACCUGAAAAUGAAUUAAUAAAAUAUUUUGUAGCAAUAGAACAAAGGACAAAAACCACAUAAUCAUCUCAGUAGAUGCAGAAGUGUGUGACAAACACCAAUAUCCCUUUAUGAGAAAAACAGAAGGAAAUUUUCUCAACCUGAUAAAGGGCAUCUGAAAAACCCACAGCUAACAUCAUAUUCAGUGGUGAAAGACCAAAAGUUUUUUCCUAAGACAAAGAACAAAACAAGGAUUUCCGCUCUUGCUGCUUGUCUAGCCAAGGCAGUUAGGCAAGAAAAAGAAUUAAAAGCAUCCAGAUGGAAAGGAAGGCGUAAACUCUCUUUUGCAUGGUGAUUUUAUAUGUCAUUCUAAGAAGUUUACACACACACAAGAAAUUUUAGAGAUAAUAAAUGAGUUCAGCAUGGUUACGGGACAGAAGACUAACAUACACUAACCAGUUGUUCAAGACAAUUGAAUAGGGGAGAAUAGUCAUUUCAACAAAUGCUGCUGGCAGAAGUGGAUAUGAACAUGCAAAAGAGUGAAGCAUAUGGAUAUCCAUAUACAAAAAUGAACUCAAUAAAAGCCCUACAUGAAGUGUAAAAACUGUAAAACUCUGAGAAGAAAACGAGUACAUUUUCAUAAUGUUGGAUUAGGCAGUAAUUUCCAGAUUUGAUGCCUAAGCACAAGCAACCAAAGAAAAAAUGCAUCAAUUGUACUUCAAAAUUAAACGUUGUUAUGCUUCAUAGGACAUCUUCAAGAAGAUGAAAAGAAUCCCCAAAUAAUGGGAGGAAAUAUUUCUAAAUUUUAUGUCUGGUAAUGGACUUGUAUAUGUAAAGAACUCUUAUAAUUGAAUAAUAAAAGGGCAAAUAGCCCAACUGAAGAGGGCAAAGGAUCUGAAUAGGCAUUUCUGCAAAACACAUGAAAAGAAGCUCAACAUCAUUAGCCAUCAGGGAAAUGAUUUCACUUAAUGCCCACAAGGAUGGCUAUAAUCAGAACGAGAAGACAGUAACAAGUGUUCACAAGGAUAUGGAGAAAUGGGAACGUUGGAACUGUCAUAUGUUGCUGUGAGAAUGUAAAAUGGUGCAGCCGUUUUGGAAAAUAGCCUGGCAUUUCUUCAAGGUUAAAUGUAGAAUUAACACGUGACUCAGCAGUUCCAUUUCUGGGUUUAUACCCAAGAGAAAUGAAAAUAUAUGUCCACAGAAAAACUUGUACAUGGAUGUUCAUAGCAGCAGCAUCCAUAAUAGCCUCAAGUAGAAGCAACUCAAAUGUCUGUCAACUGAUGAACAGAUGACAAAACAUGGUACAAUGGAAUAUUACUCAGCAAUGAAAAGGAAUGCUUUAUAUGUUACAACAUGAUUGGACCCUAAAAACAUGCCAAAAGGCUGUGUAUUAUAUGACUCCAUUGAUAGGAAAGGAAUGGUUUACAUGUUACAACAUGAUUGAACCUUAAAAACAUGCCACAAACUGUGUAUGACUCCAUUGAUAUGAGAGGAAUGGUUUACAUGUUACAACAUGAUUGAACCCUAAAAACAUGUAUUAUAUGACUCCAUUUAUAUGAAAUGUCUCAAAGAGGCAGAUUCAUAGAAAGACUAGUGGUUGCCAAGGUCUUCAUUUUUUAGGGGUGCACUAAUGGAUGUAGGAUUUCUUUUUAGAGUGAUUAAAAUGUUACAAAAUUGCUGGCUGGGUGCAGUGGCUUAUGCCCAUAAUCACAGCACUUCGGGAGGCUGAAGUGGGAAGAUCCAGGAGUUGAAGACCAGCCUGGGCAACAUAGUGAGAAAAUGUCUCCCUAAAAGGAAGAAUUAACCUCAUGUGGUGGUGUGCACCUGUAGUUCUAGCUACUAGGGAGGCUGAGGAGGAAGGAUUGCUUAUCCCGGGAAUUCAAGGUUGCAGUGAGCUAUGAUUGCACCCACUGUACCUCAUCCUGAGAGAGAGAGCAAGACCCUGUCUCUAAAAGAAAAAUAAAUGUUCUGAAAUUGAUUAUGUUGACGGUCACAUAACUGAAUAUAUUAAAAACUUAAAUUGUAUACUUUAAGUUGGUGAUUGUAUGAUAUAUGAGUUUUAUCAAUACAGCUACUUAAAAACCUAUAGUUAUGCAAAUUAAAAAUUUCAUUUACUGGGGAUAAUUGAAAUGAUUAUACCGAACAUAAUACAUGUAGAAACAGUAUAGUUUUUGUAUUGCUGGAUAGUCUGUUUUUUUCUUUUUCAAUAUUUGAAACUAAAGGUCAUGUAAUUGAUGUUUUUCUUACAUAACUGUGAAAUAUUUAUUCUCUGUUGAAAUGUUUUAUCUUACGUUUUCUCCUUUAGGAAUGUUACGUUCAUAACUUACUAAGGAUUAGUGUAUAUUUUCCAACCUUGAGGCAUGAAAUUCUGGAGCUUAUUAUUGAAAAACUACUCAAGCUGGAUGUGAAUGCAUCCCGGCAGGGUAUUGAAGAUGCUGAAGAAACAGCAAAUCAAACUUGUGGUGGGACAGAUUCCACGGAAGGAUUGUUUAAUAUGGGAUUCGCAGAGGCAUUUUUGGAACAUCUUUGGAAAAACUUGCAGGAUCCAAGUAAUCCUGCCAUCAUCAGGCAGGCUGCUGGAAAUUAUAUUGGAAGCUUUUUGGCAAGAGCUAAAUUUAUUUCUCUUAUUACUGUAAAACCAUGCCUAGAUCUUUUGGUUAACUGGCUGCACAUAUACCUUAAUAACCAGGAUUCGGGAACAAAGGCAUUCUGCGAUGUUGCUCUCCAUGGACCAUUUUACUCAGCCUGCCAAGCUGUGUUCUACACCUUUGUUUUUAGACACAAGCAGCUUUUGAGCGGAAACCUGAAAGAAGGUUUGCAGUAUCCUCAGAGUCUGAAUUUUGAGCGGAUAGUGAUGAGCCAGCUAAAUCCCCUGAAGAUUUGCCUGCCCUCAGUGGUUAACUUUUUUGCUGCAAUCACAAAGAUGAAGACUUGUGGAUAUGGAUGGUGGUGAUGGUUGCACAACAAUAUCAAUUUAUUUUAUACCACUGAACCGUGCACUUCAAAAUGGUUAAGAUGGCUGGGGUGUAGUGGUGCGAUCUUGGCUCACUGCAACCUCCACCUCCCGGGUUCAAGUGAUUCUCCUGCCUCAGCCUCCCAAGGAGCUGAGAUUACAGGCAUGCGCCACCACACCUGGCUAAUUUUGUAUUUUUAGUAGGGAUGGGGUUUCACCACGUUAGCCAGACUGGUCUCGAACUCCUGACCUCAGAUGAUCCACCCACCUUGACCUCACUUACAGGCGUGAGCCACCGCGCCUUGUCUCUGUUAUAUUUAUUUCUCUAUUUAAAUUGAUGGAUAUAUGCAAACCUGAUCAUUAUCAUACUUAUGCCUUGACACAAGAGAGGCAAUAAACUAAUCUAAGUG